AAAUCUAUAUUGCUGAACCAAAAGGAGGCCUGCGGGAGCCUCUCAGGUGUUCGCCCACUCAUGUCGUGCCGCAUGUGACUCAUAUUGCGUAAAAAAAAUACCGCACGGCACAGAGGUGUCGCCAGUCGCCACGAAGCCUACUCCGGCCGCUCGCGUCUGCCUUACGCGCAGGACAAGUCGGGCGGCCGCCGCUUCCUCGCUACACGUCCCGCGGUGAUGUCCUUGCCUCUUCACCAAAUCGAGGACACGAGGCGCAUCACUCGGUCCGCGUUAGCUUUUCCUCCUCUUCGCGCUGCUCCUGUCGGAUGAGUCUCCCCCAAUCCCUCGCCUUCACCUCCUCUGUUUCUCCGCCCGAGACUCACCAUGAUGUCCCAGUGCGGUGGCUCCUGCUAUGGCCUCGCGGAGCGGCGGGGCGCGGCGAUGGCGGGUGGCCGCCGGUCAACCGUCGCCUUCUCUGCAUGCCAUCAGCGCCGCCGCCGCCCUCCGAAUGCCCCCUGUACGACUGCAGGAUCGCAUUGGUGGCUGGAUCGAUCCAGCGAGCCCCAUCCCCAACCCCAUAUGCUGAUGUGAUUAUUUUAUUCCUCCUCACAAGCGAGUCUCUCUUGAUUCUUCAUACGUUAGUGUCCUAUUACAUUUAGUUGGCGUAGUUAAAUUGAUUGCUUUAAACUUUACAGAAACUUCAUGCUUCCUUUGACCGAUUUGUAUUAUCACGUUAGUCAUAUAUUAGCUACCUGUGCAUCCCGUGAUUUACACAAUUACACUUCUUAUUUUCGCUUUGCGCUUCAUAUUUUCCCUUUGCGUUACAAAAUAUAUGUGUGCCUUCUGAGUGGAGCCUGAACAUACACCUAAAUGCUGUUAUGCUGUCUACUUUUCAGCAUAUAACUCUUUCUCAUGAGCUAUGUUAAGUUUCUUAUACAUUGUGCAGUGCAUAUGGGCGUGCCAGUGCCUGCAGACGUGGAUGAUUUUCUGAGGCUAUGUUUCUGGACAUGGUCAAAUGAUACACACGGCUGAACUCUACUUUCAUGUUAAAAAGUUCAAUUUCAUGUCAUUGGAAAGGUGGGAAUUCUGAAGUAUGUGGCCUUGCUGGGUGUCCGUAGUUUGGUAGGGCUGAAAUUCCUCAUAGAUUGACGAUUGAAGUGUUAUGACUAUUGUUUCAUGUUAAGCCAAUAUUGCGUAUCAGCAUUUACUAAUUAAAGAUUUUGAAUUUGAUACAGACUUGCAAGUUUAAAUUUGGUCACAUCAAUGUGCAGGAACGAGGCAAGGAGAUAUAUAGAACUGAAAGCUGGUUCCUUUUCAUUGUUUGCCAUAAAAUUUAGCUGCUGCGGUAACACAAUUUAGGUUUGUCACAUAUUGGUUGCUAGAUUUCGAUUUAUGAAUGCAUUUGUUUUCUUUCAUUCCUAUGCAUGAACUUAUUUUUUUUAUUGCACAACUUCUUUCCAAAAUUCAAUGUUAGUUCUCUCUGUAUAUACAUCUAUAUUUCCAUUCUGUGAUAUUCGCCCAUUAUAUGUCUGUAGCUAUGUCAGUGAUGGUAGCUUAUUUACAAAUAGAUAAAGUUAUUAGUAUAAAUCUGUAGCUCUUGAAUGAUGGUAGCUUAUUUAAAAAUAGAUAAAGUUAUUAGUAUAAAUCUAUAGCUCUUGAACAUCAUAUUUACCUUCCUAUAUUUAUUAAGUUGCAUACCUGUACCUUAUGUUUUAUCAAA